AUAACAAGUCUGUUUUGAUACAAUUAAACAAACAGAAAGAGACAGAUGAGACUCAGGGCCUGCGAACGCCAGCGAACUACCUCGAAGUCUCUGGACUGAAGAAUCGCUCCCUAGCUACUGCUGCGGUUCGUAGGCAGUGUCCUGAACUAUGCCCAAAAAGGCAAAUAAGUGUAGUAUCAGCACAACCGACCCCAUGUGCUGGUUAGUGCCCGGCCUAACCCUGGCGAGGUAGUGACGAGGCUAGACCGGACCUACCACAAUCAACGUGUACAGAUAUAUGUGCAAUAACAGAAAGAUAACAAAAAUGUAAAUAAAUAAUGGGGAAGGGACAUGCUGG
rnacentral:lncRNA from 1 species